rnacentral:rRNA from 1 species
GAUGAACGCUGGCGGCGUGCUUAACACAUGCAAGUCGAACGGUGAACACGGAGCUUGCUCUGUGGGAUCAGUGGCGAACGGGUGAGUAACACGUGAGCAACCUGCCCCUGACUCUGGGAUAAGCGCUGGAAACGGCGUCUAAUACUGGAUAUGUGACGUGACCGCAUGGUCUGCGUUUGGAAAGAUUUUUCGGUUGGGGAUGGGCUCGCGGCCUAUCAGCUUGUUGGUGAGGUAAUGGCUCACCAAGGCGUCGACGGGUAGCCGGCCUGAGAGGGUGACCGGCCACACGGGGCCUGAGACAAGGCCCAGACUCCUCGGGGGGGCAGGGGGGGGGAAUAUUGCAAAGUGGGCGAAAGCCUGAUGCAGCAACGCCGGGGGGGGGAGGACGGCCUUCGGGUUGUAAACCUUUUUUGGCGGGGAAGAAGCGAAAGUGACGGUACCCCCAGAAAAAGCCCCGGCUAACUAGGU